rnacentral:rRNA from 1 species
AGUGAACGCUGGCGGUAGGCCUAACACAUGCAAGUCGAACGGCAGCACAAGAGAGCUUGCUCUCUGGGUGGCGAGUGGCGGACGGGUGAGGAAUACAUCGGAAUCUACCUUUUCGUGGGGGAUAACGUAGGGAAACUUACGCUAAUACCGCAUACGACCUUCGGGUGAAAGCAGGGGACCUUCGGGCCUUGCGCGGAUAGAUGAGCCGAUGUCGGAUUAGCUAGUUGGCGGGGUAAAGGCCCACCAAGGCGACGAUCCGUAGCUGGUCUGAGAGGAUGAUCAGCCACACUGGAACUGAGACACGGUCCAGACUCCUACGGGAGGCAGCAGUGGGGAAUAUUGGACAAUGGGCGCAAGCCUGAUCCAGCCAUACCGCGUGGGUGAAGAAGGCCUUCGGGUUGUAAAGCCCUUUUGUUGGGAAAGAAAAGCAGCCAGUUAAUACCUGGUUGUUCUGACAGUACCCAAAGAAUAAGCACCGGCUAACUACGUGCCAGCCGCCGCGGUAA